rnacentral:rRNA from 1 species
GGCGGGCAGCUACACAUGCAAGUCGAGCGGUAGCACAGAGAGCUUGCUCUCGGGUGACGAGCGGCGGACGGGUGAGUAAUGUCUGGGAAACUGCCUGAUGGAGGGGGAUAACUACUGGAAACGGUAGCUAAUACCGCAUAACGUCGCAAGACCAAAGUGGGGGACCUUCGGGCCUCAUGCCAUCAGAUGUGCCCAGAUGGGAUUAGCUAGUAGGUGGGGUAACGGCUCACCUAGGCGACGAUCCCUAGCUGGUCUGAGAGGAUGACCAGCCACACUGGAACUGAGACACGGUCCAGACUCCUACGGGAGGCAGCAGUGGGGAAUAUUGCACAAUGGGCGCAAGCCUGAUGCAGCCAUGCCGCGUGUGUGAAGAAGGCCUUCGGGUUGUAAAGCACUUUCAGCGGGGAGGAAGGCGUUAAGGUUAAUAACCUUGUCGAUUGACGUUACCCGCAGAAGAAGCACCGGCUAACUCCGUGCCAGCAGCCGCGGUAAUACGGAGGGUGCAAGCGUUAAUCGGAAUUACUGGGCGUAAAGCGCACGCAGGCGGUCUGUCAAGUCGGAUGUGAAAUCCCCGGGCUCAACCUGGGAACUGCAUUCGAAACUGGCAGGCUAGAGUCUUGUAGAGGGGGGUAGAAUUCCAGGUGUAGCGGUGAAAUGCGUAGAGAUCUGGAGGAAUACCGGUGGCGAAGGCGGCCCCCUGGACAAAGACUGACGCUCAGGUGCGAAAGCGUGGGGAGCAAACAGGAUUAGAUACCCUGGUAGUCCACGCCGUAAACGAUGUCGAUUUGGAGGUUGUGCCCUUGAGGCGUGGCUUCCGGAGCUAACGCGUUAAAUCGACCGCCUGGGGAGUACGGCCGCAAGGUUAAAACUCAAAUGAAUUGACGGGGGCCCGCACAAGCGGUGGAGCAUGUGGUUUAAUUCGAUGCAACGCGAAGAACCUUACCUGGUCUUGACAUCCACAGAACUUUCCAGAGAUGGAUUGGUGCCUUCGGGAACUGUGAGACAGGUGCUGCAUGGCUGUCGUCAGCUCGUGUUGUGAAAUGUUGGGUUAAGUCCCGCAACGAGCGCAACCCUUAUCCUUUGUUGCCAGCGGUUAGGCCGGGAACUCAAAGGAGACUGCCAGUGAUAAACUGGAGGAAGGUGGGGAUGACGUCAAGUCAUCAUGGCCCUUACGACCAGGGCUACACACGUGCUACAAUGGCAUAUACAAAGAGAAGCGACCUCGCGAGAGCAAGCGGACCUCAUAAAGUAUGUCGUAGUCCGGAUUGGAGUCUGCAACUCGACUCCAUGAAGUCGGAAUCGCUAGUAAUCGUAGAUCAGAAUGCUACGGUGAAUACGUUCCCGGGCCUUGUACACACCGCCCGUCACACCAUGGGAGUGGGUUGCAAAAGAAGUAGGUAGCUUAACCUUCGGGAGGGCGCUACCACUUUUUAA